AUUGAACGCUGGCGGCAGGCCUAACACAUGCAAGUCGAGCGAGCGGCGGACGGGUGAGUAAUGUAUGGGGACUGCCCGAUAGAGGGGGAUAACUACUGGAAACGGUGGCUAAUACCGCCACAUCUGAGAUAAGCAAUAUGGGCUUAGCUUGUAGGUGGGGUAAAGGCUCACCUACGCGCCGAUCUCUAGCUGGUCUGAGAGGAUGAUCAUCCACACUGUGACGUAGACACGGCCCAGAAUCCUACGGAGGCAGCAGUGGGGAAUAUUGCACAAUGGGCGCAAGCCUGAUGCAGCCAUGCCGCUGGUAUGAAGAAGGCCUUAGGGUUGUAAAGUACUUUCAGCGGUGAGGCGUUACCCGCAGAAGAAGCACCGGCUAACUCCGUGCCAGCAGCCGCGGUAAUUC
rnacentral:rRNA from 1 species